GCGCGAACGUAGCGGCCCCUGAACUAGUUUUGUUCCGGGAACCUCCUGCUGGCUGGGGAGCAGCCGAGGUCGCCGGGGCCGGACGCGAGAGCCCGAGCGGAGAGAGCGCGAGGCCGAGAGUCCCGGACCCACGGGAGAGAGAGAGAGAGCGAGGGCGGGCGAACGAGCGCACGAACGCGCGCCGAGGCCAAGGCCAUGUCCGGCAACAGUCUCGCCUACAAUGAGCAGCUGGCGGGCGGCGAGCCGCCCGAGCUGGGCCAGGAGGCCACCCCCGCCACGUCCCCCUCGGGAGCCUUCGGUCUCUUCAGCAGCGACUUGAAAAAAAAUGAAGAUCUAAAGCAAAUGUUGGAAAGCAGCAAAGACUCUGCCAAACUGGAUGCUAUGAAACGAAUAGUUGGGAUGAUUGCAAAGGGGAAAAAUGCAUCUGAACUCUUUCCUGCUGUUGUGAAGAAUGUGGCCAGUAAAAAUAUUGAGAUCAAAAAACUGGUCUAUGUUUACCUGGUCCGAUAUGCUGAGGAACAACAGGAUCUGGCUCUCUUGUCCAUCAGCACUUUUCAGCGUGCUCUGAAAGAUCCAAAUCAGUUAAUUCGUGCAAGUGCUUUGAGAGUCCUUUCCAGUAUCAGGGUUCCAAUUAUUGUUCCUAUCAUGAUGCUUGCUAUUAAAGAAGCUUCUGCUGACUUAUCACCAUAUGUUAGAAAGAAUGCUGCCCAUGCAAUACAGAAGUUGUACAGCCUUGAUCCAGAGCAAAAAGAAAUGUUAAUUGAAGUAAUCGAAAAACUUCUGAAAGACAAAAGCACACUGGUAGCUGGGAGUGUUGUGAUGGCUUUUGAAGAAGUGUGCCCAGAUAGAAUAGAUCUGAUUCACAGAAACUACCGCAAGCUGUGUAAUUUGCUAGUUGAUGUUGAAGAAUGGGGGCAGGUUGUCAUAAUCCACAUGCUAACUCGAUAUGCACGUACACAGUUUGUGAGUCCUUGGAAGGAGGAUGACAACCUAGAAGAGAACAGUGAAAAGAAUUUCUAUGAAUCAGAUGAAGAACAAAAAGAAAAAAAAGACAAAAUUAAAGUAUCUUAUGCUAUGGAUCCGGACCAUCGACUGCUCAUUAGAAAUACAAAGCCUUUGCUACAGAGUAGGAAUGCUGCGGUGGUGAUGGCAGUUGCUCAGCUGUAUUGGCACUUAUCACCAAAAUCUGAAGCUGGUAUUAUUUCGAAAUCAUUAGUACGUUUACUUCGUAGUAAUAGGGAGGUGCAGUACAUUGUUCUACAGAAUAUAGCAACUAUGUCAAUUCAGAGAAAGGGCAUGUUUGAACCUUAUCUGAAGAGUUUUUAUGUUAGGUCAACUGAUCCAACCAUGAUCAAGACACUGAAGCUUGAAAUAUUGACAAAUUUGGCAAAUGAAGCCAACAUAUCAACACUUCUUCGAGAAUUUCAGACUUAUGUGAAAAGUCAAGAUAAACAGUUUGCUGCAGCUACUAUCCAGGCUAUAGGCAGAUGUGCGACCAACAUUUCAGAAGUAACUGAUACAUGCCUUAAUGGCCUGGUGUGUUUGCUGUCCAACAGGGAUGAAAUAGUAGUUGCGGAAAGUGUGGUCGUCAUUAAGAAACUACUACAAAUGCAGCCAGCACAGCAUGGUGAGAUCAUCAAACACAUGGCCAAGCUCUUGGACAGUAUUACUGUUCCUGUGGCUAGAGCAAGUAUUCUUUGGCUAAUAGGAGAGAAUUGUGAACGUGUUCCUAAAAUUGCUCCUGAUGUCUUGAGAAAGAUGGCUAAAAGCUUCACUGGUGAAGAUGAUCUUGUAAAGCUACAGAUUUUGAAUCUAGGAGCCAAAUUGUAUUUAACAAACUCAAAGCAGACAAAAUUGCUUACCCAAUACAUAUUAAAUCUCGGCAAGUAUGACCAAAACUACGACAUCAGAGACCGUACAAGAUUUAUUAGGCAGCUUAUUGUUCCGAAUGAGAAGAGCGGAGCCUUAAGCAAAUAUGCUAAAAAAAUAUUCUUGGCACAAAAGCCUGCCCCAUUGCUUGAAUCUCCUUUUAAAGACAGGGAUCAUUUCCAGCUUGGGACCUUAUCCCACACUCUGAACAUUAAAGCUUCUGGGUACCUGGAGUUGUCUAAUUGGCCAGAGGUGGCGCCUGACCCCUCAGUUAGAAAUGUAGAAGUGAUCGAAUUGGUAAAGGAACGGACAUCAGUAUCCGGAAAAGUAAAGAAAGUGAAACCUGAUGAAAAGUUUUAUUCAGAAUCUGAAGAGGAUGCUUCUGACAACAGCAGUGAUAGUGAGAGUGAAUCUGGAAGUGAAAGUGAAGAUGAAGAAAAAGAAGAAGGCAGUAAUGAGGAGAGUAGUGAAUACUCAUCUGAUGAGAGUGAAAGUGACUCAGAUUUAGACAACCAAAAUCAAGUAGCCAAGGGCAAGUCUAAAACUACAGAAGAAAGUGAUUCUGAUGUUGAUGAAAAGACAAAUGCCAAAUUGAAAUCAUCUGAUUCUUCUGAUUCUGAAUCUAGUUCAAUAGAGGAAAGUUCUUCAGAGUCUGAAUCAGACACAGAAAGUGACUAUGAGUCAAAAAAACCAAGUAAGAAAGAAGAGAAGAAAACUUGGCCAGAAAGAAAACCUAGUGAAAAAGAAGUUUCUCUUCUAGAUCUAGAUGACUUUAACCCAGUAUCCACACCAGUAGCAGUUCUCACACCAGCUAUUUCUCCAGGGUUAAUAGCUGACCUGGAGGGUUUAAACUUGUCAGCUUCUUCCCCUGUCAUCAAUGUUAGUACUCCAGUCUUUGUGCCGAUGAAGACCCAUGAGCUGCUUCAUCGAAUGAGUGGCAAAGGAUUAGCUGCCAGUUAUCACUUUCCAAGACAGCCUUGCAUUUUUGGUGAUCAAAUGGUCUCAGUGCAAGUGACAUUAAAGAAUACCACUGAUCAGAAGAUUGAGAAUAUCCACCUCUCUGAUAAAAAGCUGCCUUCAGGGAUGCGGAUGCAUAUGUUUAGUCCAAUAGAAUCUCUUGAGCCUGGGGGAUCCAUUACUGUUGCAAUGGGCAUUGACUUUUGUGAUUCUACUCAGACUGCCUGUUUCCAGUUGUGUACAAAAGAUGAUUGCUUCAGCGUCAAUAUCCAGCCACCUGUUGGAGAGCUUCUUUUACCUGUGGCCAUGUCAGAGAAAGAUUUUAGGAGAGAGCAAGGACAUUAAGGUUCUUUACCCUUCAAAACUUAUUCCUGGCUCCAAUAUGCAAACUCCUUCAUUGCCUUCUGGAAUAACUUUGUACAAAAGAAAUGCUGUAUUUUAGAAAUGUAUCUGAACCAACACACUUGUAAAUAACCACUUAAAUGUAAAAUAUUUUAGUAUAGUUUGUGUCUCUAGUGCUUGUCUCAAAGUCAAACACGGCUGCUAAUUAGAUUGAGCUUUUCCUUAUACGAAUAAUGGGAAAUAGCUUUAGGUGGCCUUAGGGACACACUGAUUAUGCAGCAUGACAAAGUUGAUAGACCUCUGACUUAGGACGACAUGGGUUCAGGUCCUCCCUCUGAUACACACUUUGUGAUCCUGGGCAAGACUCUUGACCUCUCAGUUUCCCCUAGGCAGCUUUCUAAGGCUCUAAGUUAUACAAUAGUUGUUGACCAGCAUUGGUCAAGGGAGUCUCCUCAUUGGGAGCUGCCCAGAUUAAUGAACCAUAGAUCUAGACUCCCAGUUUUCUCCCCCCACCAAAAAAAAAUGUAUAAAAUUCUACAUACUUGGGAAAUAUUUGAAUGCUACACAUUUAGCUUUUCUGCACUUUCCAAUGUCUUUAGCAAACUGACAACCAAAAACUUCAUGGUGUUGAUGUCAUCAAGUAAUAUCUGCCAGGUUCUCAGAAUGUGCAAGGUAUGGACUAGAAUAGAACAUACAAAGUUAUGGCCCUCCUGUCAGUGGAGGAAAAGAAACACUUCCUUAUACUCCCCACUGUAGUAAAGCAGAUACUUGAUUUUGUUUCCUUGCCUCCUGUCCUGUCAUGGGGAUGAAACGAGGUGUAUUUAAAAAGAAAAGAAGGGCAUGAGAGUAAUCCUGCAUCCAGCCCUAAAAUGUGUAGUUGUGUAGAGGGGUCUGUGUUCAUUCUUGUGUUUUGUUUACUUUGAAGUCUUUUCACCCAGAGUAGAAUAACAGUCCAUCUCUGCAUUGGUUUUUCUUGGAAGUUGAUCAUUGCCAUAGAAAAAAAAAAAUUAGCUGUGUGUGAUUUUUUUUUCCUAUUGACAAAUUGAAUUGAUUCUUAUAUUUGCUGUUCUUACCCUUUGCUGGCUAAAGCCUGCCUCACUGCUUUACACCUGCCCAGCAAGCCAAGGUUCUUUUCCACCUCAGCAAUCGAGACAAUACAUUUGCUUACCAUGCUGCUCUCCUAAGUGUUCUUUUGCAUGUAAAUUAAUCUUGAUUCAGUUUACACUGUCAUGCUGAGUGGUACAAAUUGCCUAUAACAAUAAAACAGCAUGAGUUAAAAAUAAAGGGGGGGGGGUAGGAAGGCAGAUUGAAUGUGUGCCUUACUUGAUAGGAUGUUACUUUGCUUUAUGCCAAUACAUUAGCUGACGAUAAUGAAUCUUCUGUUCUGAAAAGCAUGGUUUAGUUGAUUUUUUUAAUUUUACUUCAAUGGAGCAGUACCUUGUCUUUUAUAGAACAAGUUAGACAAACCAUUAAUGACAAGAGUGUUAAGGUUAAAUAUGAAGCAAUGCAUUCACCUCUCUGAGUGCUAUCCAUCUUUCCAUUUACAGGAGCUUGACAAAAGUACUGGCUUUGUACAACAUUUCCUUUAAUUACAUGCUGCGGGAAACAGGCUUUUAACAUAAACAUAGUUGCAUUCAUUUAUUCAGCAGUCGCUCUUCAAUAGAGCUUAAUGGAGAAGGUUUAAAUCCUAAAUGAGUACGCACAUCUCUCAGCAGUGUUAUGGCAGCCACUGUGCUUGGCUUAAAAGCAACGUCUGACUGCUUUUGUAGGUUUUAAAGCUUUUGCCUGAUAUUGAAGUUAAACAGUCGAAGACAGAACAUACUGUCCUCAGAGUUUUGAUAAUGGUUAAAGCUUCUCUUUGCUCAAAGCUGGGUAAUCGUAUUUGAUGUUUUGCUGCAUAAAUCAGAUUAUGAUGGUGGCCUUUAGUAUCUUGCUACUGCUAAUUAUAGGGGUUUGUUUCCUCUUCGUUUUGGUAUAUGUUUAACACAGAUAAAACAUUCAGCCAUGAAAAUACAGAGCUUUUAAGGAAAAUGUUUCAAAUCAAAUUGUUAUCAUUUCCAUGAACAUCAUAAAUUACACUUAAAUACAACUUUCCCAAAGUUUUGACUAAUGCAGUGUUAAGUUUGAGUCACAUUUGAUAUGUGAUACUUGGGUUUUGUUUUUAAUCUAGGUACUAAAUUACAGUAAUAUAGCAAGUAUUUUGCAUUAUGCUGUGUUUGUUCACUAAAUAUUUUGAUAUGAAUUUUUUCCAAAUUUGGAGGCAUGCCUUGUGUUAACCUCAUUUCCUUUUGUUCAAGAUUUUAAUUAACUUAGUUGCAUUUCUAAAAUUUAAAAUAGUAUUGACUGUUACUCUAGAAGCUAAGAUGUUCUUUUAUUUUCUACUUAAUGGUUUUUACUCCUAGAUUUGUAGCUGAAGUUUUAAUUGUUUAAUUAUAGUGCCAUGACUUAGUCAGACGCUGUCAUCAGGUGUAACUUGUCUGAAGGUACUUUUUUUUUUUUACAAAUCAGGUGGUAACUGAGUGAAUCAUUGAUAAGGUAACUUUGAUCAUUCUGAGUUCAUGAGGACAAAUAGUCUUCAGAUAAUGGCUGCUCAUAAUUCCGGAAUCCACUAUGAUUUGCCCUCAACUAAUGUGUCUCAAUAAAAUAUGUUUGAAUGAAUAUUUAUAAGCUAAAAAGGAAAAAGCUUGUUUAUGUAGUCUCAGAUUAAUUGAUUAUAUUUUUAAAGGAACUGAAAUUGAGAUUUCAUCUUUGUAUUUCUGCCAUUUUAUUCUUUAGUACUUGAGCAAAUCCAUUAAGGGAGGAAAAUUGCUUUGACUGCAUCAGGAAAUAAUAUUUCCACACAUUUUUCCUGUGAUGGGAAUAUGUAAUUAUUUAGAAAUAGUAGCAGUUCAUUUUUUAAUUAUUAUGAAUUUAACUUAUAGCAUACAUUCUGAGGGAUUACUUUGUUAAUAAAAGUAACUCCUUAAAAACACUGGCUAGGAGGCAUUAGUUUUUUCAAAUGUGGUUUGCAUGAAGAUAUGAGCUUAUAACAGGUCUUCCUUUUAAUAUUACAGGAAUGCUGACAGGAAUGAAUGAAACAUCAGCUACAAUCAUUGCUUCACCACAGAAUUCUGCUCCCUCUGUGAUACUUCAGAAGAUUAUAAAUGUAGCCAACCUAGGCAUAGUCCCUUCUGGACAAGAUAACAUACAUAGAUUUGCAGCUAAAACUGUGCACAGUGGGUCACUGAUGCUAGUCACAGUGGAGCUGAAGGAAGGCUCUACAGCCCAGCUCAUCAUAAACACUGAGAAAACGGUGAUUGGUUCUAUUCUGCUGCGGGAGCUGAAGCCUGUCCUGUCCCAGGGGUAACCUGCUUACAUCUGGACCUCAGAAUCUGGCACACAACAAAAGUGCCUGGCAUCCGCUACUGCUGCCUUUCAUUUAUAAUAAUAGCCCUUCCAUCUGGCAGUGGGGGAAGAAUACACUCUUGACAUUCUUGUCUCCUGCUUUAGAAUGCUAGUGUGUAUCUAUCAUGUAUGCAGUGCUUGCCCCCUUUUUUUUUCGGUUUGCUAACCAAAGAACAUAUAUUUUACUGUCAGUUAUCUAAACUCUUGAAUCUAUGUGCCAUAUCUUCUCCCCUGACACUUCUACCCUUUUUCCUUGACUUUUCCUAGUUCUGAUGAAUAAAUGUUGAAUAAUUAAAGUUCAUUGGAAAUCAGUUUGCCUUUACCAAUAAACAAAAAUUUUAACAGAAUGGAGCUGAUCUCCCAGCUAGGCAUAGGAUAGUGAAGAUGUCUGGAAUUAAGCAAGAGAACAGUGGAAUAUUUGCAAAAUACUAUUGUUCAGUGAGUCUCUGUGUCAUAAUCAUUUGCUGACAGACUGCUGUCAUCAGAUUUUCUGAAUGGUAAAGAAUAAAUAAAAUAGCAUAUAAAUAGUG